rnacentral:lncRNA from 1 species
UGUUAAUCAUAUAUGCCAUGAAAGUAUGAACUUGUAUCUAUGCAUGCAUGCAUCUCUGUUUCUCUUUCUUUUGCUAUUGUGAACAGUUCACUGUAUAAUGCCCGUGUUUCCACAUGUCCUCAAAGGAUCCAUGUGUGUCUGGCCAGCUCCGUCUAUGUCCGACUAUGGAAAUCGGCUCCGUCUAUGUCCGACAUAAGUCGGCCCCGUCUAUGGCUGACAUAUAGUCUGCUCCGUAAUUACCCGUAGGUUCCAUAUAUAAAGGUGGCCAUUACACAAGUGACUGUCACUUUGACUUUUUAAGUUAACACUGUCAAAUGAAUGUAGGAUGUGCAUAUG